rnacentral:lncRNA from 1 species
CAUCUGGCUGUCUUGGUGCCCAGAAGCCUAGCUGAACAAAUUGUGACAUGAUAUACUCCUAUUGGAUACUUUCUGGGCCGGCAUGCGAUAAGCCGGGUUGGGCUCUCCAGUGCAAAUCCCUGCCCCACUUAAAUGCAGCUCAAUGCCCCCUCUCCACUUCGGGGCACCGGCCACCACUCAGCAGCAGAGCAGCUAGGUGGGCAGAAAUACUUCUGCGUUUGUACAGAUGCACUGCAUGCAUGAGAGCAAAAGUAACACUGACAAAGUCUUUUGUUUAGGAAAUAAACCCUGUCAUACAUGCAGCAUUCGGCACAGAAAGCCAACUUGAUGACCUAAUCCUGUUUAUUGUGUAGGGGUAGUAAGGCACUUAGGUAGUAAUUCUAGAUCUGGUUGAAGAAUAAUUGCAGAGGGCUUGCUGGGUGGCUAGUUUCCCAUUCACUGAUGUUGUGGAAGUGCCAGGGGAAUUGAGCUGUAGGGCAAUGGAAGACAAGGUGCCCAUAAAUCUGUGACAGAUAGAUUUUGGAGUAUUUGUUUUCUAUAGUUAGUCACCUGAACUAAGUGUGAACUUUAUGAAUGGCAUACCACUCCUUUUGCUGAUGCUCUACUAAUACCAUGAUCACUGUAUUAAAGAAGAAGCAAGUUGGCAAGUACUGCAACUGUAAAAUCCGAAGCAGUUUUGUGAACAAGCUAAUGUAUAUAAGUUUGGUAAUAUACCAUCAUUACUCAAACCAACUAUGACACAUACAAACACAUCUACUGCAAGUACCCUAUAAAAGCUGCUGGACUUAAGGCCCAAUGACAUGAAAUAAAAGCUGAAUAAACAAAGCAGUUAAAUAGUUCAAUGGCUUCCAGUUGACCCUGAGCAGAGAUCUGUGUAAAGCUGGAUGAAUACUGCAGCCAAGAGAAAGGAGACAGUUGUGUGUGUUGUUUAUGAGCCGCAGUUCUAAUAUAGCCUGCAUGAUAAACAGUGCUGUAAUAACAGCUGACCUCUGCCAUAACUUGCUUUCUUCCCCUCUUAGAUCCUGCUCGUGGGCAGUGAGAGAAAGCAUAAUUUCUGAUUGUACUUGUACCUUUGAUGAAAGGAAUCCAAACUGGAUUUAUGGAAACAAAAGGGCAGAAAAUCCAACACAACUGCUAUGGACUGGACCCAAAGUUUCUGAGACCUCAGUGUAACAUGACAGAAUUGCAGUCCAGCUCUUAUACUGGAACAAAUAUUCCAUGUUUAUUUGGGAAUGGCCCACACUGGGUUUGAACUCCUACUCAAAUGCCCGAGUUGAGCAAGAGCAGGGGCCGACACCAUGGGCCAAGCACACAGUCCCACAGAGGAACAGCACCCAGUGCAGUCUUGCCUCCUGCUCUUGGCUGGGAUUGGAAGCCCUUUCCUUCAAACAGGGUGAGGUAGAGUGGUGCCUGAGCUGUGCAGAAUAGUUUUGGGUGUUGUCCCAUAAUCUCUGGACAAUCUUUCAUGACUGUUUGGUAGAGAGUCCUUGCCAGCUGCCUGCUCUGCCCCUCUGCCAAGGGUUACCACUGUCAAAGAGUCAGCGAAAGGACAUCUAUUUCCAUGUCAUCCUGUGCCUGAGCACAAAUCACUGAUGGAGCUUCUUCAAAGACACUGGAUGGUGCCUACAGGCCAUGUUGACCUCUGCCAGACCUGCCAUGGGAGGAGCAGAUGGGUAGGGGAUCUGGAGUUAGCUCUGAGGACCAAGGGCAUCUUCAGCCACUUCAUCAAGGUUCACUUCUAAGAUGUGGGACUAUCCAUCCCAGGCACAGUGCUGAUGAGUAUUCUACCUUGUAACUCCAGUUUCCCAUGAUAUUUGCUUUGAUUUGUUAUUGUCAGUGCAAAAUAACAAGGAAUCUGCCUACAUUGGCUCUGCCCUCUCUCUUCCUUUUGCGCUUGUGGCUUUUCUAGCAGUAGCUGCCUGUUUGUGGUUUCCAGCAUUCAAAGAAGAAAUUGCACACCUGGACACGACGUGAAAUCUCUCUCACCACCAUCUUUUUUGCUGCAUUUUUCCCUACGAAUAUAAAUUGCUAAAAGAGCAGAUGGCCUGGAUAUAUAAACUUUAUUACGGGUAACAGAAGAGGGGCUGUAGCAGAUGAGAACAUGCAGUGCUCAUGUUUUCCUAAAUGGCCCAGUGGUAUCUUUAAAGCAGGAAGAGGGAGGUCUGGUUUGCAGUGGGAUCACCGAGACAGCCCGGAGUUUCAGAUGUAAUUCGCACCAUCAGGCACAGCAUAUAGUAAUCCUCCUUGAUGAUGUUUUAUGCCUUGGAAUCAGUUCUGCCUGUUCUGAUUCUGGUCUGUGAAUAAUGGGAGGCAGCACUGCCAGAGGAGAAAGGAUAACCUGUGCUGUUAACUCUGCUGUUUUGGUAAUUCCUUCCUAUCUUAUUCUGUGUUCUUUUCCCUCGUCAAGCCCAUUUCUUUUUUAUUUUGUCGGAGCAGUUUGUGAAAUAUAAAGAACACUGACAUGUUCCCCUCUCUGAUUGUCUCCUCUGUGUGUGCAUGCACCAAGAGUGCGUGUGUUGUGUUCAAGGACUGCUAAAUGUCACACAGCUGAACCAGAGCACUGCAGCCACGUGAUGCUGACAAGCUGCAUUCAUGCAUAGCACAUGCCUUUCCUUAGUUCAAAACAGAUGUCAUUUCCCUUGAAAGAUGAUUUUUCUGGAUCCCCUGAAAAAGGAGUCGGGUAAUUUUAUUUUAUUUUUUAUAGCUUCAGGUUAAUAAGUAUGUUCCCAAGCUGAAUGGAAGACAUGAAAGACAGCAACUAGAUGCUUCUGAGUUAUUGAUCUCCUUUAUCUCCAAAAUAAAUUAUGUUAAGUAGUUGCUCUUAGGGCUGUG